CAACAAUGCACACAUACAAUAUUUUAUUAAAAUGCUGGCGGUAAAAUUCCUUGGUUUCUCCAUUAAGCUCCAGGAAUAUUUGCACAAUUAAGGGAUCGCUCUAAGCACCAUAAGCACUUCAUCUUACUGAAAUUGUUAUGCUGCAAAGACCAUAUUCCUGCAGCUCUGCUUUUUUAAAGAACACCCAAAGUACCAUAACAACUACAGUGCACUAUAGUGGUAAUGUUCUUUAUUAUUUGCUAAUAAUUUGACUUCUCAGCCAAGGCCAGAUCAGUCUGAGAACGCUGGGCUGAUUUCAGGCAGAGAACUUCUGGGCCCGAGAGACCCAUGUAAGUUUUCAAACCACUACUGUGCGCUGUAGUAGUUAUGGUGCUUGAGAAACUUUUAAUUCCAGAGAUAAAUCUUUCUAAUCCUUGUGGGUUUUUUUUUUUUUAACUCCCUGAUAAAUAAAUAAAAAACAGAUUGCCUCUGCGUUUCUGACCUGUCUCCUAUAGCCACUCCUUUAGGAAUGUAUAACCCAUCAAAUUAGGGUCUUCAACAGUUUGACUAUGUACACCGGGAGUGCGCAAGGGCACUCAGACACGAGUAUGCUACUGUGGUAAUAGUGUUUGGAUUAUUCCUCGAAUAAAGCUUAUUAAAGGACCACUAUAGUGCCAGGAAAACAUACUCGUUUUCCCGGCACUAUAGUGCCCUGAGGGUGCCCCCACCCGCCAGGCUCUAGGGGGAGGAAGGGGUUAAACUUACCUCUUUCUCCAGCGCCGGGCGGGGAGCUCUCCUCCUCCUCUCCUCCCUCUUCUUCCGUCAUCGGCUGAAUGCGCAUGCGUGGCAGGAGCUGCGCGCGCAUUCAGCCAGUCUCAUAGGAAAGCAUUCAUAAUGCAUUCCUAUGGACGCUGACGUCUUCGAACUGUAAUUUUCCGAGUGAGAAGCACGCAAACGCCUCUAUCGGCUGUCAAUGAGACAGCCACUAGAGGCUUUAGAGGCUGGAUUAACCUAUUUAUAAACAUAGCAGUUUCUCUGAA